GAUGGAUCUUCCUGUUAGGUCAAGAUGAGGGUUGAAGAUCAACUGAUGCUCUCCUCAAGCCAGCACCUCAGGUGACCAUCCAGCUUGUCCACCCUUAAGGCCAAACAUUGCAACUAAUCCCAUGCAAUUAACUGAUCUAAUCUAACUGGAAUAAACAACUAGAAGUGGACCUAACCACUACCAUUACAGUGAGAUUUAAUAGAGACUGGUCAAUUCGCUGGUGAAUACCCAUGGAUUUAUGAUUCUUUGAUAUUAAGGUUCAUCUAUCCAGAUCCAGGACUUCCAGUGUUUGGCUCUUAAAUAUCUGGAUUGGAAUCCAUGUUUACUUCGGCCCGGCCAACUCCACUCUGUAUCGAUCAAUGACUUCCAAGUAACCCAGUUUUCCAUGUGAACAGACAGGGCUGGACUUCCCUGGGAUUUCAUUCAUUUGAAAAGAAAAGCAGUCUCCCUUCAUCAGCUUCUGGAAUCAUAAAAACACAGUGUCUCAGUCUUCAGCCAAUCUAUCCUGGAGUAAAAAAGAAUCACUGGUAUGCAAAGUCACUAAGACAGAAGGAAAUCCACUUGGAAGGAGAGAAAUAUUUGCAAGUUUUCCUUCAUUCCAGUCUGUGGUGCUUUGCAACAUACCCUUUGCAAGUGUCUUAUUCCCUCAGUGCAAGAUCAAUGACUGCAUGAUUAACAGAGCUUGAGGGAUAUGGAUAUCUGAAGAUAAUGGGAACUGGGAAAGGAAUGUCAUUCUGAACAUUUGACAGAGGCAUGAGCCUUAUUUGUUGAGCCAAUCUUUAGAAGGAAACAUUCCUUGAACAAAAAAGAUUUUUGUAAAAGCAGUCCCAUCGAAGAGGCAUUAAUGUAUUUUCAAAAACACUAGCAUUCAAAAUAAAAUACUA